GCCGGGCGUGGUGGUGCACACCUGUAAUCCUAGCUACUUGGGAGGUAGAAUCACUUGAACCCAGGAGGCAGAGGUUGCAGUGAGCCAAGAUUGUGCCAGUGUACUCCAGCCUGGGUGACAGAGAGAGACUUCGUUUCAAAACUAAAGCAAAACAAGUUUAUUUUUUGAGUACAGUGGCAUGAUCUCGGCUCACUGCAACCUCCGCCUCCUAGGUUCAAUCAUUUCU
rnacentral:sRNA from 1 species